AGGAGAGAGAGAGGAGCCAGAGGAGCCGGGGCUGAGAAGUGAGCGGAUUCAGUCAAGACUGCCUCCCCUGCGGCGCCUCCCAGCUUUGGCGGUUUCCCUGUCAUUUGUUUCCAUGCCCCGCCCUCGCCACGCUGCUUCGGCUCCUCCUCUCCGCUUCAGCUCGCCCUGGAUCCCUGCGGCUCACCCGGACCGCCAGACUCCGGGAUCCCUCCAAGCAGCGGCCUCAGGGAGGUGAAGCGCACGAAUUCCACUCCGGUGCCAAAGGCCAGGAUGAAGGAGGCGAGGGCCGCAGGAACCAGCAGCAGCGCGGGGGCCAUGGCGAGCAGCGCGGAGCCUGCGGAGGAGGCGGGCUCAGGGUUCCCGCGACUGCUGGCCCUGCCCAGGUCCCGCCUCCUUGGGGUUGCUGGCAGCAAGGCGGGGACCGCGAGCAGCGCGUCACAGCGCGGAGCUUGGAAUCCCAGGCGUCGUCAGGGUAGCAGGUCUGCGGCUACCCUUGUGGGUCGAAUCUCAGCGCUGUCAGUGUUCUCGAGGAAAGUGAAGACAGAGCCUCCCUUGCGUGGAAAUAUAAAGAACAUCUUGUUUUUAAAGAUAAUCACUCCUUAUUCUCCAGCCUCAGUCCCUAGUGUGCUGGGGUUACAAACGGCGCCACCCCGCCCAACAUAGAUUUUUGUAUAGUGACCGUUUUAGAGCUGGGUGUGGUGGCUCCUGCCUGUAAUUCCAGUACUCGGAAGGGUGAGGCAGGAGAAUUUGAAAUUAGCUUGGACUGCAUAUGGAAACGGGUUCCG
rnacentral:lncRNA from 1 species